AUUGUUCCCAUAUGUACAUGAACUCCAACUCUUCCAAACUUCUCAAAAAUAAUGAUAGGAAGGACAUGAAGCACCAUUUAGGGAACUUCAUUAUUUUUGGACUUGGUAUCCCUUCAUGUUCUGAAAAUAAAGAGGGGUUUAUCCCUUACAGAAGAUAUAUAUAUAUAUAUAUAUAUAUAAAGGAGAGACUUAUGCCCGCCAACGUGGCGCUCUAAAAAAUCAGGAACCAUAUUUAUCUUUUGCCCUGAUUUUUUGCCGUUUUAUUCCUUUUUUUUUUUUUUUUUGUUUGCCAUUUUAUGUGCUUAAGAAAAUGCAAAAAUCACGACUCUUCAUUUGCAAGUUUUUAACAUCCCUCUCUUAAUUAAAUCUCUUCUUCCUCUUUUCCUUUUUCAAGCAAAACUCCUGUUUUCCAGAACGUAUUUAUGUUUUUUUCAACCGGGUAUGUACUUCUUAAUUUUAUAGAAGCCAUAAAAAACUGAUAUAUCAAUGAGUCUGGUGACGGUAACAAGUUUGGUUAAGAGAUCGGGGCGGGCAGCGAAAUCGAUGGCACCAAUCAUGCCAAGAAACAGAGUGUCCAACUUAAUGCAACAAGGAAUUUGGAGUUCUUCCAAAUUAGCAAUCGCAUCACAGGCGUAUGGUUCCUUCUAAGUUCUAAGGUUGAGUACCUUUCAAAGUCAAAGUAGUCGGGAUAGUAGCUGCAGCACUGAUAUGGAAAACACGACAACCUUAUAAUCGUUCGUCAACUAGAUGAGGAACCCGAUGUCUCCACAUAGAUUGUUCUGUCCCAAACCCAUAGGUUACGACUAUGGUUCGAUUCCCUGUUCCUAAAAUCUUCACGUGGUGCGCUUCUUCAACUUCCCCAUCUUACGUUUCCUUUAAUUUGUGGAAAUCAAGGAUUUGUGUUUUUGGUUGCCUCUUACAUUCUUUCUGAUUGUGAAACAAGGGUGCAAAGGAAAGAAAAAGUCAGGACUUCUUCUUAACACUUGUUGCUUUGUUUGGGUCUCGGUCUUGAUAAUGAAAACAAGGAUAACUAUAACCACAUGUUUUGGUGUUUUAUUGCUCUGUACAUAUUAAUCAAGUGCCACCUAUAGUAACAAUUGAGGCAAAGGUACCAGUGGCAAAGGCUUAAAAUUUCUCCCAUGCGGACAUGCGGUGGCAGUUUGAGCCACGAUACCAACAGGUGUAUUUAUUUUUAUCUCACUGAAGCGAUAGAGAGAUGCAUAGAAUUACACAUAAUGCAAGAUUACAAGUAUACCAUUCUUCUACGGUUCUUUUC